CAAUCACUUGUCUUUUAAAUGAAGACCUGUAUGAAUGGCACAACGAGGGCUUAGCUGUCUCCUUUUUCCAGUCAAUGAAAUUGAUCUCCCCGUGCAGAAGCGAGGAUAAAACCAUAAGACGAGAAGACCCUAUGGAGCUUUAGACGCCAGAAUAAAUCAUGUCAAAUACCCCCAAACACAGGGCCGAACUAAAUGAGCAUUAUUCCAUGUCUUUGGUUGGGGCGACCGCGGGGAAAUAAAAAACCCCCACGUGGACUGGAAUUAUGCUAUUCCACAACUAAGAGCCCCCGCUCUAGUUAACAGAAUUUCUGACCAACAAAGAUCCGGCAACNNNNNAUCAACGGACCGAGUUACCCUAGGGAUAACAGCGCAAUCCUCUUUUAGAGCCCA
rnacentral:rRNA from 1 species